GAUGAACGCGGCGGCGUGCCUAAUACAUGCAAGUAGAACGCUGAAGCUUGGUGCUUGCACCGAGCGGAUGAGUUGCGAACGGGUGAGUAACGCGUAGGUAACCUGCCUCUUAGCGGGGGAUAACUAUUGGAAACGAUAGCUAAUACCGCAUAAAAGUCGAUAUCGCAUGAUAUUGAUUUGAAAGGUGCAAGUGCAUCACUAAGAGAUGGACCUGCGUUGUAUUAGCUAGUUGGUGAGGUAACGGCUCACCAAGGCGACGAUACAUAGCCGACCUGAGAGGGUGAUCGGCCACACUGGGACUGAGACACGGCCCAGACUCCUACGGGAGGCAGCAGUAGGGAAUCUUCGGCAAUGGGGGCAACCCUGACCGAGCAACGCCGCGUGAGUGAAGAAGGUUUUCGGAUCGUAAAGCUCUGUUGUAAGAGAAGAAACGAGUGUGAGAAGUGGAAAG
rnacentral:rRNA from 1 species